rnacentral:misc_RNA from 1 species
AGAGAUUCUAAAAUAACAAGGUCUACCUCACCAAUAUUAUAAAUAUUUCACAUCUAAUCCUCAAAGCAACCCUGUAGUAUAAGUAGAAUAAAGUUGAGAAAAACAAAACUGAAACACUAUCAACAAAGCUACAGGCUAAAGUCAAUUUGAAGCACCUAUCAGAUGGAGCCUACUGACACCCCAUCGCCAUGUGGGCAGAAGCAGCUUCCAAAAUCG